AAGUGACCUACUCAGUUUUUACUUCAUUUUACUUCAUUUGCAGUUUAGGUACAGGAAGAAAAGAAUCCAUCUGUGGAAUUUCCCUGUGCAAGAUGCCAAAUGCUCAGUUGGAAAGGAGGCUUCUUCCCCCAGUCAGCUGCUGCAGCAGAGGAUGCACAGUGUCAGAGGUGGAGAUGGCCAAAAUUAAGCCAAAGAAUCCUUGGUGCUGUCCUGUGUCUGAACACCAGAGCACUGAAUACUGAGCAGAACUGUCUCCUCUGUACCUCAAGAACUUCCUGCAGGAAAUUUUUAGACUGCUGGUGGCAGCCCCAUGGAAUGAGUCAGCUCCGUGCUGCUUUCAGUCUGGUGAAUGAGAGGAUUCUGGAGGCAUAAUUUCUUUAUUACUGAAGCCUGGGUUUGACAAAAUUGUAGAAUUCACUGCUUUCUCAUAGAUAUGUGUGUCUAAUUGACAGAAAGAAAACACCAAAGCCUUGUGUGAAUCAGAAUUCCAGAAUC